UACCUUUCCUCUUGAAUUUUCUAAGGGAGGCUAUAUUAUGUUAGAUUUUGUGUUAUCAUCUCAAAUUAACCAACAGAUUUAUAGAGUAUUAAUAUAAAAUUCCUCGUUUCAAAAAUCGCUAAAAAUAAAAUUGGAGAAAAAUCAUUUUGGAAUCAAAACUUUCCUGUGAAGAAGAACAGAUAAACGGGUACAUGUAGUAAGAAUAAUAGCAUUUUGCAUGUAGAGAAGUCAUUGGUGAAAAUGGCCUGGCUGAUAAUGUAAACAGAUAACAUCUACAGGCUCUUCACCUCUUUAUGAGUUUGUAAAUCUGAAAAUCUACAAGUAUUGUUGAUUUAUGGACAUCAAACUCAGUCACUGAACACGGUUUUACUGUGACAUUGUCUCAUCAAUUAAGUCAAUUAGCUAGAGCUCUGACUACAGAUGUAGAUAUUAAAUGAAAUAAUCAUGUCUGUAACUAAGUUUUGUAAGUUGGAAUCAAUAGCGGGUUGAGAUAAUGUCCUUGAGGACAUUUCAAAUUUUUUACCUUGAUGUAUUUUUUUCUUGUUUUUUUUUCCUGAUUACCUUACACGUACAAAUUUAUGCAGGGUAUGUACUACACAUUUAUGAAAAGGAAAUCCUUUCUAAUAAAUGAUUGAAUG
rnacentral:sRNA from 1 species